CACACGGGAUGGAGAGAGACAGAACAGCUGACAACCACAACGGUGCAUUAAAAUACAACGGGAACGAUGUACUGUCCAUUCUGUGGAUCUGUGCUUACAGGUUCCCCUGCCUUUUGCUGUGCAUGUGGCAAAAACAACUUUUUUAAAGCAUUUCAAAGAAGAGACGCCUGCCACUCAUGCACAAAUUGAUGUUGCACAACCUACCACCAGUGCAGACAAGUGAUAAACAUCCCAGGAACAGAUGACCCUUUCACUGUCCAGAAGUACAAGGAGGCAAUAGGGAAGGCCUACCAGAAGAUAACACUAUACAUUUGCACAGCAGAGGAUUUUGAAACCAGUUGUAAGUGUUCCAUUUCGUAUUUCAUUCAUGGUUUGAUUUUCAGAGUCUUUCCACUUAUAUCUUAUCUGUGCAAGAUACAUUCUGCCAAUUACU